rnacentral:rRNA from 1 species
UACGAAGGGGGCUAGCGUUGUUCGGAAUCACUGGGCGUAAAGGGCGCGUAGGCGGCUUUAUAAGUCGGGGGUGAAAGCCUGUGGCUCAACCACAGAAUUGCCUUCGAUACUGUAUGGCUUGAGACCGGAAGAGGUAAGUGGAACUGCGAGUGUAGAGGUGAAAUUCGUAGAUAUUCGCAAGAACACCAGUGGCGAAGGCGGCUUACUGGUCCGGUUCUGACGCUGAGGCGCGAAAGCGUGGGUAGCAAACAGG